rnacentral:misc_RNA from 1 species
GAUGAAGAACGCAGCGAAAUGCGAUAAGUAAUGUGAAUUGCAGAAUUCAGUGAAUCAUCGAAUCUUUGAACGCACCUUGCACCCUUUGGCAUUCCGAAGGGUAUGCUCGUUUGAGUGUCAUUGUACUCUGACACUCUCCGAUCCUAUGGAUUCGGGGAGCGGUGGACUUGGGUGUUGCUGCCUUUCCUUGUGGCUCACCUCAAAUGUGUCAGUGCACCUCUUGGUUGGACAUAGUACGGCGUGAUAAGUGUCUUCGCCGGCACCUCGCAAGAGGGUGGCCGAUCGGGAGCUCUGUGCUUUCAAACCGUCUUCGGACAAUUUCUGACAACUUGACCUCAAAUCGAGUAGGACUACCCGCUGAACUUAAGCAUAUCAAUAAGCGGAGGA